AUUCGAAUUACUUGGGGAGCUUGUUACAAACAGAUUCUGACUCAGUAAGUCUGGGCUGGGGCUGAGAAUCUGAAUUUCUAACAAGCUCCCACGUGAUGCUGAU
rnacentral:pre_miRNA from 1 species